UACGGGGGGGGGCAAGCGUUGUUCGGAAUUACUGGGCGUAAAGGGCUCGUAGGCGGCCAACUAAGUCAGACGUGAAAUCCCCUCGGCUUAACCGGGGAACUGCGUCUGAUACUGGAUGGCUUGAGUUUGGGAGAGGGAUGCGGAAUUCCAGGUGUAGCGGUGAAAUGCGUAGAUAUCUGGAGGAACACCGGUGGCGAAGGCGGCAUCCUGGACCAACACUGACGCUGAGGAGCGAAAGCCAGGGGAGCAAACGGG
rnacentral:rRNA from 1 species